rnacentral:lncRNA from 1 species
ACAAUUUCAGCUUAAAUUUAAAAUAACACUUUCUUUGUAAACACAACAGGGAAAUCACAUAAGAACCAGUCAUGCCCAUAUCACACCCACAUCAUCGAACAGUGCAUGUGACACAUAAUAGGGAACAAGUGCUACCAGUAGUAGUUUUACAUAAUAAUAAAGCAUGAACCAGAGCAUGCAAAACAAUCAACCAUGAACUACAAGUUCAGUUCUGUUUCACUAUAUGUAACUACAAGUUCAUUUAUUGCCAUAUAACAACCAUGAGAAUCCUGACUGGUUUGGCAUUGGCUGAGAUAUCGACCCUGAUGCUAAUUGAUAAGAAGAUGCCAUGGAAGGAGGUUAAGAUGAUUGUGUAUGUGCUUUCCUUCUGUUCUUUGCUCUCUCAUAGAAAGGUGCAGUGUCAGGAUUAUUUUGAGAAGUUGAGGCCUUCUUCUUCCUAUUUGGUGGCUUAGAUGUUGUAGGUGCUUGCUUUGUUGAUGGACCAGGAGCUGAACUUUGUCGUCUUCAUGGAACAGGAACUUGCUAUGUUGAAAAGCAGUAAAUGUUAGCACAUUUUGCACAUAUCAGGAAAAAAUGCAAGUAAAAGAAGAGAGAAAGGGGCACCUCUGUUCUUGCUUGAUUGGCCUUUUCUCCUUGUAGCUGCUCUUGUUUAGAUUCUUCGUCAUUCAUAACAACAAGAGCACCUGUGCCCUUUAAAGGAAACUUCCAGUACAAAGUUGUCACAUUUAGUACUUCAUCAGAAUAGGAAACAUGAUCUGCAAGGUGUUUCUUCAACUAUUGUAGACACAUUUUGUCACACUCAAUUGUGGACAUUCCUGACCUUCCAUUCAAAUACUUCCAUUCACUUUCAUCAUGAUGCAAUUCACCUCGGAAAUGAAACCGAACAGAUAGGUAAUUGAGUGGUGUCAUAUCUGCAAAAUAAACACAUAUACAAGUCCUUUGCAGUUUGCACAUAUGUAAGAUUUAAUCCAUGUGCAAUCAGACCCACAACAUCACACACACACAUAUAUGCCUUCUGGAUAUAGAUCAUUUCAAUAGUCUAACCCCUAAAUUGAUGAACUCGACAGCAAUCUACAAACAAGCAUAAAAACCACAUAUUUCUGGCCGCACAUAUUAUGAUUUGCUUCUGAAUUUUUUCAAAUUUCUGAACUCAUGAAACAGUGUUAUUAUAUUUGAGUGAUCACACACGUAUGCUAUUAAAAGAAAGUUUGAUGUACUACUACACUGGUACGUGUGAGUUGUAUUUUCAUCCUAGCUACAUUCCUACUCCACGACCCCAUGAAUAUCUAUGUUUAUUGAUCAAAUACAAAGUACAUGUUGCUGAUCAUAAAUGCAAGCCAUGGAGAUUUUGACCCAGCUAGUAGUGCAAAUAACCUGAAACCUGCAACUCACUAUAACCCAGCCCAAACCUCCCUACGCCUCUCCACCCCAUCCCCAAUCUUCCAAAAAGAUCGACUAUGAUACGUAAGUGCCAAUCACCUUGAGCCAUUGAGAGCUCGGGACUUACCUGCUCUGCCUCCCACAAAGCGCCGAUCAAGCUACCAAAAAAACAGAGUGCCUCAAACAUCUCUUUGUUCCCUAUUCCCUGUAUAUCUCUCAUACAACAUACAACGUGCUUGAUAGCUUAUGUUCCCUGUUUCCUUUCACUACCAAGAGUAAUUUAACUGACAUAUAAGCCCCAUGGUACAACAUUGUACAGUUUCAGUUUCUUCAGUCCUAUCAUGCAUUGGGUGCUUGGCCAUUCUUGGCAGCGUUUUUUCAGACUUGUUUGUCUAUCUUAAUGAAUUGACAUGCAGUUCCUCUACUGCAUGGUCUAAAAAUAACCUCCCGCAGAUCAUGUAAGAUUGAUUAAGGAUUUUCAUUUGCCCCAAACCCCUCUAUCUGCCGCUCCAAAUCAACAGGAACUACCCAAAUCGAAGGGCUACAACAAUCAAAGAUCAAUGCCACCCCAAAGCCCUAUGUCCACCGCCCCAAACCCCAGCCCCAAUCUUCACAACGCUUUACCACAGACCUAAAAAACAGCAGCGACCGGGACGUACGAGAACUAACCAGCUUGUCAACCAGCCGCCGUGACGCCCCCUACCCCAGGCUCUGUUCGACGCUAGGAUCAAGAGGGUCCAGCGUGGCAAUCAAAUCCAAUUUCCUUAACCGGAAACUUGUCACGUAGGCAAAACUGCUCGCAAAAACCACCAUAAUCAGUGACAGGGGGUGAUUUGCCUAGUUUUGGAAAGUCCAGGGGUUUCCUGUGUUCCUGGGUUAUAAU